rnacentral:rRNA from 1 species
GGACGGGUGAGUAACACGUAGGCAACCUGCCUGUAAGACUGGGAUAACAUAGGGAAACUUAUGCUAAUACCGGAUAGGGUUUUGCUUCGCCUGAAGCGAAACGGAAAGAUGGCGCAAGCUAUCACUUGCAGAUGGGCCUGCGGCGCAUUAGCUAGUUGGUGAGGUAAUGGCUCACCAAGGCGACGAUGCGUAGCCGACCUGAGAGGGUGACCGGCCACACUGGGACUGAGACACGGCCCAGACUCCUACGGGAGG